UACAGAGGGGGCGAGCGUUGUUCGGAAUUACUGGGCGUAAAGGGCUCGUAGGCGGCCAACUAAGUCAGACGUGAAAUCCCUCAGCUUAACUGGGGAACUGCGUCUGAUACUGGAUGGCUUGGAUUCGGGAGAGGAAUGCGGAAUUCCAGGUGUAGCGGUGAAAUGCGUAGAUAUCUGGAGGAACACCGGUGGCGAAGGCGGCAUUCUGGACCGACAUUGACGCUGAGGAGCGAAAGCCAGGGGAGCAAACGGG
rnacentral:rRNA from 1 species